UCGAACGGCAGCACGGGAGCAAUCCUGGUGGCGAGUGGCGAACGGGUGAGUAAUAUAUCGGAACGUGCCCAGUCGUGGGGGAUAACGCAGCGAAAGCUGUGCUAAUACCGCAUACGAUCUCUGGAUGAAAGCGGGGGACCUGCAAGGGCCUCGCGCGAUUGGAGCGGCCGAUAUCAAAUUAGCUAGUUGGUGGGGUAAAAGCCCACCAAGGCGACGAUCUGUAGCUGGUCUGAGAGGACGACCAGCCACACUGGAACUGAGACACGGUCCAGACUCCUACGGGAGGCAGCAGUGGGGAAUUUUGGACAAUGGGCGCAAGCCUGAUCCAGCAAUGCCGCGUGCAGGAUGAAGGCCUUCGGGUUGUAAACUGCUUUUGUACGGAACGAAAAGGUUUGCCCUAAUACGGCGGGCCCAUGACGGUACCGUAAGAAUAAGCACCGGCUAACUACGUGCCAGCAGCCGCGGUAAUACGUAGGGUGCGAGCGUUAAUCGGAAUUACUGGGCGUAAAGCGUGCGCAGGCGGUGAUGUAAGACAGAUGUGAAAUCCCCGGGCUCAACCUGGGACCUGCAUUUGUGACUGCAUCGCUAGAGUACGGUAGAGGGGGAUGGAAUUCCGCGUGUAGCAGUGAAAUGCGUAGAUAUGCGGAGGAACACCGAUGGCGAAGGCAAUCCCCUGGACCUGUACUGACGCUCAUGCACGAAAGCGUGGGGAGCAAACAGGAUUAGA
rnacentral:rRNA from 1 species